rnacentral:rRNA from 1 species
AGUGUAGGCGGCUAUUUAAGUCGGAUGUGAAAGCCCUGGGCUCAACCUGGGAAUUGCAUUCGAAACUGGGUAGCUAGAGUUUGGUAGAGGUAAGUGGAAUUCCGGGUGUAGCGGUGAAAUGCGUAGAUAUCCGGAGGAACAUCAGUGGCGAAGGCGGCUUACUGGACCAAAACUGACGCUGAGGCUCGAAAGCGUGGGGAGCAAACAGGAUUAGAUACCCUGGUAGUCC